rnacentral:rRNA from 13 species
UUUACUUUUUGAUGGCGAGUGGCGUACGGGUGAGUAAUAUCUGAGAAUCUACCUUAAGGAAAAGGAUAACAUUUAGAAAUGAAUGCUAAUACUUUAUUAUGUUAUGAAUUUUUUAUAUUUUAUAUUAAAAAUUUAUAAUUAAAGGUAGGGGAUUUAUAUAUAUAUUUAUAGACCUUAUGCCUUAAGAUGAGCUCAGACAAGAUUAGCUAGUAGGUAAGGUAAAGGCUUACCUAGGCUUUGAUCUUUAGCUGGUCUGAGAGGAUGGCCAGCCACACUGGAACUGAGAUACGGUCCAGACUCCUACGGGAGGCAGCAGUGGGGAAUAUUGCACAAUGGGGGAAACCCUGAUGCAGCUAUGUCGCGUGUAUGAUGAAGGCCUUAGGGUUGUAAAGUACUUUCAGUGAGGAAGAAGAUAUAAUAUAAUAAUACUGUAUUUAUUUGACGUUACUCAAAGAAGAAGCAUUGGCUAACUCCGUGCCAGCAGCCGCGGUAAUACGGGGAAUGCAAGCGUUAAUCGGAAUUACUGGGCGUAAAGAGCGUGUAGGUGGUUUAUCGUGUUAGAUGUUAAAUACUUAAGCUUAACUUAAGGAUGCAUUUAAAACUGUUAAACUAGAGUAUCGUAGAGGAAGGUGGAAUUCCAGGUGUAGCGGUGAAAUGCGUAGAUAUCUGGAGGAACAUCAGUGGCGAAGGCGGCCUUCUGGGCGAAUACUGACACUUAAGCGCGAAAGCGUGGGGAGCAAACAGGAUUAGAUACCCUGGUAGUCCACGCUGUAAACUAUGUCAACUUGAAGGUUGUAAUUUUUUUAUGGCUUUCGUAGUUAACGCGUUAAGUUGACCGCCUGGGGAGUACGACCGCAAGGUUAAAACUCAAAUGAAUUGACGGGGGCCCGCACAAGCGGUGGAGCAUGUGGUUUAAUUCGAUGCAACGCGAAGAACCUUACCUGGUCUUGACAUCCAACGAAUUUUACAGAAAUGUAGAAGUGCUUUUUAAGAGCGUUGUGACAGGUGCUGCAUGGCUGUCGUCAGCUCGUGUUGUGAAAUGUUGGGUUAAGUCCUAUAACGAGCGCAACCCUUGUUCUUUGUUACCAUCAGGUUAAGCUGGGGACUCAAAGAAGACUGCCAAUGACAAAUUGGAGGAAGGUGAGGACGACGUCAAGUCAUCAUGGCCCUUACGACCAGGGCUACACACGUGCUACAAUGGCGUAUACAAAGGGAAGCAACCUCGCGAGAGUAAGCAAAUCUCAUAAAGUACGUCUUAAUUCGGAUUGAAGUCUGCAACUCGACUUCAUGAAGCUGGAAUCGCUAGUAAUCGUGAAUCAGAAUGUCGCGGUGAAUACGUUCUCGGGCCUUGUACACACCGCCCGUCACACCAUGGGAGUGUGUUGCAAAAGAAAUAAAUGA